AACGAUAUAGUUCAAUGGUAGAACGUUAGAAUCAUAAUCUAUUUGUUGCAAGUUCAAAUCUUGCUAUCGUUA
rnacentral:tRNA from 1 species